rnacentral:rRNA from 1 species
UACGGAGGGUGCAAGCGUUGCUCGGAAUUAUUGGGCGUAAAGGGGAGGUAGGCGGUCUCGUGUGUGUGAGGUGAAAGCCCAGGGCUUAACCCUGGAAGUGCCUCAUAAACUGCGAGACUGGAGUCCCGGAGAGGGUCGUGGAAUUCCCGGUGUAGCGGUGAAAUGCGUAGAGAUCGGGAGGAACACCAGAGGCGAAGGCGGCGACCUGGACGGGUACUGACGCUAAACUCCGAAAGCGUGGGGAG